UUCAUUGAAUAAAUUUCAUGGUUGACUGCUUACCGGAAGCAGUCCCAGGCCCCACCGUCAAUGUUUGCACGUUGUAGUAAUAAGUUUUGUGUAGCAUUGCUAACCUACUAAAACAGCGAAAAUUAAGCCCUUUGAAACUACAUGUAUACGGAGGGUUAUUUAACCGAAUAGCCGCGGUUAUGAUUUCAUACGUAGUACCGCCCACCGCGGAACCAAAAUCUAAUUAAUUUUAAAUUACUUUCAUUAUCAGCUCCUAGCAAAGAAAGAUGCGUAGCUAAGAAGCAGUAGUAGUUUUCUGCAGGCAACUUUGUUGCAAACUAGUCUAGAAUAGCUACUCUGCCAGGAUCUCUAAGUUUUGAACGGAGGAGUAUACCAGCCAAGGCCCCAGCGAAGGAUCAUUUCACAACAUUCACCUCUAGCAAAGAAAGAUGCAUAACUUGGAAACAGUGACAGUUUUCUUUAUUCAACUUCUUACUAAAGUAGUCUACAGUAGUUACUGUGUCAGGAUCUCCUGGUUUCCAACGAAACAGUCAACCAGCCAAGGGCCAGAGCAAGGGAUCACUUCAGAGUGUGGCAAAGAAAGAUGCACCCCUUAGUAACAGUAACAGUUCUCUUCAAGCUACCUUGUAGUUCUAUCUGAACAGUCGAAGAGUCAACCAGCCAAGGACAGAGCGAGAGAUUACUUUAGAGGUCUGUGAAACUAUCGUCACUGCUAUCUGCCAUGGAACCACCACCAUCGUAUGGGUCUGAGAAGGUCUACUCACUGUGACUACUAUCCAGGAUACCUAGGAGUACCUCAUCCCCUGUGUACAGAGGCCUCUUAGUCAUUGUUGUACCAUAGAAUUAAUUGUAAUUGUAUUUAUUAUAAUGUAUGUUCACUUUUGAGAUUGAUUGAAAUACAAAUUUCACAUGAAAAUUUCAGCAAAUUUUUGAUUGCUAACCUAUGGUGAUCGGACUCAGUACGGCUUCUGUUGACCUUCGAGAGAAGCCUUGCAAAGCUGUGGAGCUCUGGAAGGUUGUAGCUCACCACAAAUUAAUUAAGAGUAGAGUAAUGUGCGGUUGCCGCUUCAAAGCGUCAACCGCGGCUACCAGCUAUUCACGUAUUGACGCUUCAAAGCGUCAACCGCGGCUAUUCGGUUAAAGUCAGUGAAUUAGAGGUGAAUUAGAGGUGUAUUCGCGAGUUCAAGUUUUGGCGAUUUUACUGUCAUUUGUACAACCUCAAAAAAAUGUGUCACCUACCUGUAUAGACUGCACCAUUUUUACGUACUGUAUAGCGUGAAAUUUUCGAGGGGCUGAUUUCGUAGGUUAGCAAUCCAUUUUUACGUACCGUAUAGCGCGAAAUUUUUGAGGGGCAGGUUAGCAAUCCUACACGAAAAUUAAGUCCUUUAGUUAGAAUUAUCUGCUAUAAUGUGCAAAGAUUAAAGGCGUGGGUUCCGGUAGGCAGUCAUUCCACGCACAUUGCGCAACGAAAUGCUUUUAGAGGCCAUUCCAAAAUAUAAGUGCCUCGAAAAUUUUGCGCUAUACGAUAAUACAUGUAUAACAAUAAUUGUGUAAGGUAUACCAGGAGUGCAUGCAUGAAGAGGAGUAAGCAACUACAGUACAGCCCAUAAAAAAAGAGUAAUUUUCGUUGGUGCAAAUUUUUGUAUGAGACCAUUAAAUUUUAAAUAUUAGUACAGCUUAGGAUAGUGACUUUGAAUUUAUUGUGGUAGAAUAAUUUCGUUUCAUAUGAUGCUCUUCAAUACGAACUAAAUUUCCACCGUACAAAAAUAACCCGCUAUAUACGGUAUGUGUGUAAAACGCCCACACUCUCAAGUGGCUCUACAACCACACUCAAAACACUGUGGUUAUAACUGCAUGUAGCUACAUGUAUUGUGCAAACAUAAUUAUCGUAUAUGCUUGAUCAGGAGCCGCGGCUACUAAAUGUUUCAUUUUGCUAGAAGAGGAGGCUACAAUUCAAGAGGGGCCACUGUUCAAGAGCGGCGUUUAUUAGCUCCAGAUAAUUUAGUUUGUCAUCAAAUGUUGUUUUCACCUGCAUGAACUUGAAUUCUGCCAUGAGAAAGUCUUUUUGAAGCACUAACAAGCUGCUACUCAUAGCUACGUACAUGUAGCUAGCUGCUAGUAAAAAUUUUUUUGGCUGCCACGUGUAGAAAUGCUAGAGUCAAAGUUCACUGAGGCUACUAUCUGAGAGCGGCUACUAAAUGUUUCAUUUUGCUAGCAAGGGAGGCUACUAUUUGAGUGCGGCCUUUAUACAAGAGCGGCCUCUGAUCGAGCAUAUACGGUAUGCGUAGAAUUUUUGAUUGUAGCCUGUCCGCUUUAGCCGUUAUGUCGGCCACACAGGUUCAAGUGUUUGUGGCGUAGAGAGACAAUUAACAACGUAUUAUGUGAGUGCGGCCUUUAUACAAGAGCGGCCUCUGAUCGAGCAUAUACGGUAUGCGUAGAAUUUCUGAUUGUAGCCUGUCCGCUUUAGCCAUACAUGGUCAUGUCGGCCACACAGGUUCGAGUGUUUGUGACGUAGAGAGACAACAACGUGUAUAUAGUAGUUGUCUCCUCACCUUCUUGUACUCCUAUACAGUAAAAUCAGGGGGGAGGGGGAUAUCCCCCCUAUUUCCAAUUUCCCCCCCUAAAAUUUGUAUUCAGGUAUACUACCGUAUAAUCUGGUUAGUAAGCGCAUGCGCCUAUAGGGAAAAGAGCAGGCCUCUGUAUGCGCCUAUUAUCCAGAUGCGCUUGUAUAGAGCUCAAUCGUUUGUCUGCAAGAAGUUUAUAGUCAUAUCUGACAGCAGUAACACAACUAUGGUAGUGAAAGAGACUUAACGUCUAUAAAGAAGCGUGGAGACCAGUUGUUGGGCAGAGAACUGUGCUGCGCCUUCUAUCAAGGCUUUUGGUCUGCUUACCAGAGUGCGCUUAUGAGUUGAUGUGCUCUUAUUAACCAAGUGCGCUUAUUAAUCAGAUUAUACGGUAGUUGGUGUCCAUAGCUGGCAAUUUUACAUGGUAUUGAAAUAACAGUUAACCUUUUUUUAGCAACAUUUUCUAGUUGCUUUCCUUAAUUAUAUAUAUUUCCUCCUCUGCUUCAAAAUCCUGUAUAUGACACCCUAUACGAACUUAUC